AUGCCGGCUAAGUUCACCUCGCCAACACAGGGCGCUCUAUCUGUCGACCUUGACAGUGUAUCCGUUUCCAGGGGGCAAGAAGUUAUGCUCAGGUGCUAUGGGAGCGACUGUAGUGGCAAGGAGAGCUGCCUGUGGACCCUGGGGCCGUGUGAAACGCAACAUCUCGAGUGUGUGCAGGGCGACAUCUCGCUCA